AGCACACGGAGGGCAACUUGAGGGCCACCUCAGGAACUGAGAGGGUGCGAGGCCUCUCCCUUGCUCUAGGACGAGGGGCACCUUGCACUGACCCCAGUUUCAACCUCACUCCCCCAUCUCCACUGCAGGGGGUUGGGGGGGGGUGGGGUCCAGUAGGCAGCACAAACUCCACGAAGCAGAACUCGUUCUUCCCCUCGCUGUGCCUGUCUUGGUACACGGAACUGCCUUCCAGUUCUUCAGGCCACAGCCCUUCGGUCACUCUGCUCCCUUCGUGCCCACGUAGGUCAGACCCUGGCGGCUCCUUCUCCAAACCAUUGCCAGAAUCCACCCUUACUCUCUUCCUCCCCAGUCUCUCCCUGGUCCCUCCCCGGUCCUGUCCACUGUUUUCUCCCCAUCUGGAGAGUCACGACAGCCCCUCCACCAUCUUCUCGCUCCCCCGCCCCCACGCAGCCAGAGCGACCCUGCGGACACCUAUGUCUGGUCACAUCCCUCCCCCGCUUGGAGCCCUCGUGUAGCUCCAUCUCAGGGGAAAGGACAGAGCUGUCCCCGUGAUCCAGAGCCCCGCGUGGUCUACCCCCUGCCUUCCGUUUCAACCCACCUCCUCUCUCUCGUGCUCUGAUCUUGCUGUCCUAACUCUGCAGACUCAUUUUUUUUUUUUAAUUAAUCUUUAUUUAUUUUUGAGAGAGAGAGAGAGACAAUGUGAGCGUGGGGGAACAGGGAGAGAGAGGGAGACACAGAAUCGGAAACAGGCUCCAGGCUCCGAGCUGUCAGCACAGAGCCCGACGUGAGGCUCAAACUCACAAACCACGAGAUCAUGACCUGAGCUGAAGUCAGACACUUAACUGACUGAGCCGCCCAGGCACCCCAGUCUGCAGAUUCAUUCUUCACUCCGACCUUUGCGCUGGCUAGUCCCUUCUGUGGCUACUCUUCCCCUCAAUCUUGUGUGAUUGCCUCCAUUUUAUGACUCAGGCCUUAGCCCACAUAUCACCUCCUCAGAGAGGACUUCCCUGGCCGGCCAAAGGAAAAGCCGCUCGCACUGUGUGACGCAGGCGUCUGCGGUCAUUUCCUCCUUCCUUAUAGGCGCGGAGUUGAGCGUUGUGUCUUCCCCUUCUCAAAUGUGGGCUCCAAGAGGACAGGGAAGUUUGCCUGCUUGUUCACCGCCGUCACCCGGGCUUUCUGAGAGGGCGGGGCAUAUAGUAGGUGCUCAAUAAAAGCUACUGGACUGAGGGUGCUGGGACGGGUGUCGUUCCCAGGGCCAGACGCUGUCUAAAUGACCUUACGCACCCGUUAUGUGUUUACCCCUCACCUGUGGGGCAGGUGGCCACCCGCGCUGUCUCGCAAAGCAUAAAACCAAUCCUAGAGAGGUCUGGCAGUUUUCCCAGGCUGCACAGCUGGCCGUGGUGGAGCUGGGAUUCAGGCGGAACCCAGCCACCACCUCUGCGGAAAUAGGUUUAGGACCCCCACGUCUCCAGAUGAGGAAAAGGCCAAAGAAGGGAAGGAGUCGCCUGAGGUCUAUCUGUGAAUGGCUGCCGCUGGAUUCGAACUCAGGUCGCCCUCCCCGUGCAGCCUUAAGCUCAACAGACCGUGUCUCUCGUGUCUCCCUGGGGGAAGCACCCUCCCUCCAUGCUGACGCUCCGGGACCAUUAGCUGGAAGAGGAGCGGGUGCGGGACGUGGGUCUCCAUGAAUAAUUGAGGGUCUCCGGCGGGUGGCCGCCCGGCAGCUGUCACCCCGGCGCGGGCGGGGAAGGGGCGGUGAUGACGUCACUUCCUCCCCCGCGGGGCCACUGGCGCGGGUUAUAAGGAGCUGCCGCGCCGUCCCGCGCGGCGCCGAGCACCCUGGUCCCGACGCCCCACCAUGCAGAGCCGCGGGCCCGCCUCCGUGCUGCUGUUGCUGCCGCUGCCCCUGCUUCUGGCGCUGCUGCCGGGGGCCGCCACUGCUGCUCCUUUGGCGCCAAGACCUUCCAAGGAAGAGCUGACCCGCUGUCUGGCAGAAGUCGUCACAGAAGUGCUGACGCUGGGCCAGGCCCAGAGAAGCCCCUGCACAGCUCUCCUCCACAAAGAGAUGUGUGAGACAGAGCCCUACGGCUGUGUGUCCACCAAAGAGAAAGGCCUACUGGUUGGGGAUUUCAAGAAGCAAGAGGCUGGGAAGAUGAGGUCCAGCCAGGAAGCGAGGGAUGAGGAAGAGGCAGCCGAGAGGGCCCACAAGUCUGAGGUGCGGGAACAGACCAUCCGCGAGCAGCUCCAUAGCCGGCUCCACCAGGAGGAGGAGGAGGAGCAGGAGCGGGAGGAGGAGGAGGAGGAGGAGAGGAAGAAGAGGGGGCCCGUGGAACCCUUCGAAGGCCCGUGGAAGCGGCGCCCAGAGGGUGGAGGGGGGCCCCACAAGCGAGUGGCAGAGCAGGCCAGUGACGAGGAGACAGCCCAGUUUGAGGCCGAGGAGAAGGGUGUGCAGGUGCUGGGCACGGGCCACGGCCUGUGGCAGGGGGCCGAGGCGGGUGGAGGAGAAAGGCACGAGGACUCGCCGCAUCACCACCGCCUCCGCCAGCCAGAAGCCGGGCCCAAGCAGGAGGAGAAGGAAGAGGCUUCCGAGAGGGAGGUGAGUGGAGGCCACGGGCAAGCGGGGUAGGCCAAACGGCCAGUGGAGUCGACUACCAAAUGGGUACCAGUUGGGCCGUAAACGGCCACUGUCCACCACAAAUGGACCAUGGUGACCGGAACGGACACCAGGACUAGGCAGCGACAUCCGAGCAAGGCCCCUGCUUGGCCAAGAUGGCUUCCACACCAAGAGUACAGUAACCAAAAUGGCCACCAAAAUCGCGCGGAAGCGUCCGAGUUAGCCGCCACCGUAGUCAGUAACGCGCCGUCUGGCCACGUGAAAAGUGGCCAGCACGGUUCGCUGGACCACAGGUGGACACCACUGCUGGGCCGUGGAAAGAAAGACGUCCCCAUGACUGGCGGCAGCAGCCUAACCGGCCAGCACCUCACAAAUGGGAGCAUGACACGGUGCGGCUGGAGCACGUGCGAGAUGAGCUAAAGAAGGCAACGGAGCUUCUGGGGGAGAUCAGGAGGGAGGGAUGACCCCCGACCUCGCGUCCUCCUUCCUGACACACCCUAUGGCUUAUGACUGUUGACCCCCAAAGCUCGCCUAACACCCCACUCCGUUCCCCAGCCUGAAGGAAUGGGGGGACAGGUGUGCCACGCGACCAGGCCCGAGGGGCCGAGUCUGAGCUGGGUAGAGGGGCUGGGCUCCAACCGACUCGGGAAACACCCAGCCACCCAUGUAACCCACUCCAACCCUGCCGAGUGAAUAAAGCACAAAGAAAACCGCUAAGGCUCGUGUGGCACU